AGUCGAACGAUGAUCUCCAGCUUGCUGGAUUAGUGGCGAACGGGUGAGUAACACGUGAGUAACCUGCCCUUAACUCUGGGAUAAGCCUGGGAAACUGGGUCUAAUACCGGAUAUGACUCCUCAUCGCAUGGUGGGGGGUGGAAAGCUGUGGUUUUGGAUGGACUCGCGGCCUAUCAGCUUGUUGGUGAGGUAAUGGCUUACCAAGGCGACGACGGGUAGCCGGCCUGAGAGGGUGACCGGCCACACUGGGACUGAGACACGGCCCAGACUCCUACGGGAGGCAGCAGUGGGGAAUAUUGCACAAUGGGCGCAAGCCUGAUGCAGCGACGCCGCGUGAGGGAUGACGGCCUUCGGGUUGUAAACCUCUUUCAGUAGGGAAGAAGCGAAAGUGACGGUACCUGCAGAAGAAGCGCCGGCUAACUACGUGCCAGCAGCCGCGGUAAUACGUAGGGCGCAAGCGUUAUCCGGAAUUAUUGGGCGUAAAGAGCUCGUAGGCGGUUUGUCGCGUCUGCCGUGAAAGUCCGGGGCUCAACUCCGGAUCUGCGGUGGGUACGGGCAGACUAGAGUGAUGUAGGGGAGACUGGAAUUCCUGGUGUAGCGGUGAAAUGCGCAGAUAUCAGGAGGAACACCGAUGGCGAAGGCAGGUCUCUGGGCAUUAACUGACGCUGAGGAGCGAAAGCAUGGGGAGCGAACAGGAUUAGAUACCCUGGUAGUCCAUGCCGUAAACGUUGGGCACUAGGUGUGGGGGACAUUCCACGUCCGCGCCGUAGCUAACGCAUUAAGUGCCCCGCCUGGGGAGUACGGCCGCAAGGCUAAAACUCAAAGGAAUUGACGGGGGCCCGCACAAGCGGCGGAGCAUGCGGAUUAAUUCGAUGCAACGCGAAGAACCUUACCAAGGCUUGACAUGAACCGGUAACGCCUGGAAACAGGUGCCCCGCUUGCGGUCGGUUUACAGGUGGCAUGGGUUGUCGUCAGCUCGUGUCGUGAAAAUGUUGGGUUAAGUCCG
rnacentral:rRNA from 1 species